UGACCAGACUCCUACGGGAGGCAGCAGUGGGGGAUAUUGCACAAUGGGGGAAACCCUGAUGCAGCGAUGCCGCGUGAGUGAAGACGGCCUUCGGGUUGUAAAGCUCUGUCGCAGAGGACGAAAAUGACGGUACUCUGCAAGAAAGCCCCGGCUAACUACGUGCCAGCAGCCGCGGUAAUACGUAGGGGGCAAGCGUUAUCCGGAUUUACUGGGUGUAAAGGGAGCGUAGACGGUUACGCAAGUCUGGAGUGAAAGGCGGGGGCCCAACCCCCGGACUGCUUUGGAAACUGUAUAACUGGAGUGCAGGAGAGGUAAGUGGAAUUCCUAGUGUAGCGGUGAAAUGCGUAGAUAUUAGGAGGAACACCAGUGGCGAAGGCGGCUUACUGGACUGUAACUGACGUUGAGGCUCGAAAGCGUGGGGAGCAAACAGGAUUAGAUACCCCCGUAU
rnacentral:rRNA from 1 species